AUCCAUAUAGCUCAGUCUGGUCAGAGCUUCCGACUUUUAAUCGGCAGGUCACAGGUUCAAAUCCUGUUAUGGGUA
rnacentral:tRNA from 1 species